GACGAACGCUGGCGGCGCGCUUAACACAUGCAAGUCGAACGGAAAGGCCUGCUUUCCCUUGUGGAUUGCGGGUACUCGAGUGGCGAACGGGUGAGUAACACGUGAGUGAUCUGCCCCCAACUUGGGUAUAAGCCUGGGAAACUGGGUCUAAUUCCCGAUAGGACUGCAGGGUGGUGCCUGUGGUGGAAAACGAUUUUCUAGUGGUUGGGGAUGAGCUCGCGGCCUAUCAGCUUGUUGGUGGGGUAAUGGCCUACCAAGGCGGCGACGGGUAGCCGGCCUGAGAGGGUGGACGGCCACAUUGAGACUGAGAUACGGCCCAGACUCCGACGGGAGGCAGCAGUGGGGAAGAGUGCACAAUGGGCGGAAGCCUGAUGCAGCGACGCCGCGUGGAGGAUGACGGCCUUCGGGUUGUAAACUCCUUUCGACCGCGAGGAAGCCACCUGGUUGGAAGGGUGGUGACGGUAGUGGUAGAAGAAGCACCGGCUAACUACGUG
rnacentral:rRNA from 1 species